rnacentral:rRNA from 1 species
UACGGGGGGGGCAAGCGUUGUUCGGAAUUACUGGGCGUAAAGGGCUCGUAGGCGGCCAACUAAGUCGGAUGUGAAAUCCCCAGGCUUAACCGGGGAACUGCGUCUGAUACUGGAUGGCUUGAGUUUGGGAGAGGGAUGCGGAAUUCCAGGUGUAGCGGUGAAAUGCGUAGAUAUCUGGAGGAACACCGGUGGCGAAGGCGGCAUCCUGGACCAAUACUGAUACUGAGGAGCGAAAGCCAGGGGAGCAAACGGG